rnacentral:rRNA from 1 species
UGGGGAAUAUUGCACAAUGGGCGGAAGCCUGAUGCAGCGACGCCGCGUGAGGGAUGACGGCCUUCGGGUUGUAAACCUCUUUCAGUAGGGACGAAGCGUAAGUGACGGUACCUGCAGAAGAAGCCCCGGCUAACUACGUGCCAGCAGCCGCGGUAAUACGUAGGGGGCUAGCGUUGUCCGGAAUCACUGGGCGUAAAGGGUUCGCAGGCGGAAAUGCAAGUCAGGUGUAAAAGGCAGUAGCUUAACUACUGUAAGCAUUUGAAACUGCAUAUCUUGAGAAGAGUAGAGGUAAGUGGAAUUUUUAGUGUAGCGGUGAAAUGCGUAGAUAUUAAAAAGAAUACCGGUGGCGAAGGCGACUUACUGGGCUCAUUCUGACGCUGAGGAACGAAAGCGUGGGUAGCAAACAGG